UAGCCUUGUGGAUAAGGCUUUGGAUCGCCAAUCCGGAGACGGCGGGUUCGAUUCCCGU
rfam:Aedes albopictus isolate Foshan contig160166, whole genome shotgun sequence.